CGCGUAGGCGGGCCGCCAGGCCCGUGGUGAAAUCCCCCGGCUCAACCGGGGAAGUGCCGCGGGGACCGGCGGUCUGGAGUGAGAUAGGGGCGUGCGGAACUGUGGGUGGAGCGGUGAAAUGCGUUGAUAUCCACAGGAACUCCGGUGGCGAAGGCGGCACGCUGGAUCUCUACUGACGCUGAGGCGCGAAAGCCAGGGGAGCGAACG
rnacentral:rRNA from 1 species